rnacentral:rRNA from 1 species
CAAUAAAAACAAACAAGGGCAUACGGGGAAUGCCUAGGCUCUGCAAGGCGAAGAAGGACGUGAUAAGCUGCGAAAAGCCGCGGGGAGGUGCAAAUAACCGAUAAUCCGCGGAUAUCCGAAUGGGGCAACCCACCAUAUAAAUGGUACCUCGAAACGAGGAGCGAACCCUCUGAACUGAAACAUCUAAGUAAGAGGAGGAAGAGAAAACAACAGUGAUACCGCAAGUAGUGGCGAGCGAACGCGGCACAGCCCAAACCGGACACGUUUAGGCGUAUCCGGGGUAGUAGGACUGCGAGAUACAAGUAUAAAAAGAACCGGAACGGCAUGGAAAGGCCGUCCGUAGAAGGUGAAAGACCUGUACGGGCAAUUUUUAUACGCGUUAGCAGUAUCCUGAGUAGGUCGGGGCACGAGAAACCCAGACUGAAACCGGCGGGACCACCCGCCAAGGCUAAACACUCAGCAGAGACCGAUAGUGAACAAGUACCGUGAGGGAAAGGUGAAAAGAACCUUGAAUAAAGGAGUGAAAAAGACCCUGAAACCGUAUGCCUACAAGCGGUCGGAGCCCAUUUAUUGGGUGACGGCGUGCCUUUUGCAUAAUGAUCCUACGAGUUACUGUUACCGGCAAGGUUAAGCGCUUCAGGCGCGUAAGCCGCAGCGAAAGCGAGUCUUAAAAGGGCGAAUUAGUCGGUAGUAGUAGACGCGAAACCUUGUGAUCUACCCAUGGCCAGGUUGAAGUGGGGGUAACACCCCAUGGAGGACCGAAUCGGUAAGCGUUGAAAAGCUUUCGAAUGAGCUGUGGGUAGGGGUGAAAGGCCAAUCAAACUGGGAAAUAGCUCGUACUCCCCGAAAUGCAUUUAGGUGCAGCGUCGCGGUUAAGUGAUAUAUAGGUAGAGCUACUGAUUGAAUGCGGGGGCUUCACCGCCUACCAAUUUCAGACAAACUCCGAAUAGUAUAUCACAUACGCGGCAGUGAGGGCAUGGGUGCUAAGGUCCAUGCCCGAGAGGGAAACAACCCGGACCAACAGCUAAGGUCCCCAAAUAUACGCUAAGUUGAAAAAACGAAGUAGAACUGCACAGACAGCCAGGAAGUUGGCUUGGAAGCAGCCAUUCUUUUAAAGAGUGCGUAACAGCUCACUGGUCGAGCGGUUCUGCAUGGAGAAUAAGCGGGCAUAAGCGUAUUACCGAAGCUAUGGCAGAUAACAAUCUGGGUAGGGGAGCAUUCCGUACAGCGCAGAAUCGGUAUUGUAAAGUACCGUGGAGCGUACGGAAAAGCAAAUGUAGGAAUAAGUAACGAUAAAGCGGGCGAGAAACCCGCUCACCGAAAGACCAAGGGUUCCCCGGCUAUGUUAAUCAGCCGGGGGUCAGUCGGGCCCUAAGGACAAGCCGAAAACAGGCUACUCCGAUGGACAAACGUUUAAUAUUACGUUACUCGUAUCGAGUGCGACGGGGCGACCUGGUAAUACCUCUUCGCGUGCUGACGGAAUAGCACGUUAAAGACUUUACUGGGCCGGGAGGCAAAUCCCCCGGCGGAAAGGUAAAGUUGAUAGUACACCCAAGCUACGGCGACGGUGAUAGCAAGACUAAAGAUCAGCAAGAAAAACCUCUAAGCUUCAGCUCGAUACGACCCGUACCGGAAACCGACACAGGUGGUCGAGAAGAGAAUUCUAAGGUGCUCGAGAGAUUCAUGGCUAAGGAACUAGGCAAAAUAGACCUGUAACUUCGGGAAAAAGGUCACCGCAGCAAUGCGGUCUCAGAAAAUAGGUCCAGGCGACUGUUUAACAAAAACACAGGACUUUGCAAAAUCGAAAGAUGACGUAUAAGGUCUGACACCUGCCCGGUGCUGGAAGGUUAAGAGGAGAUGUCCGCAGCAAUGCAAAGCAUUGAAUUGAAGCCCCAGUAAACGGCGGCCGUAACUAUAACGGUCCUAAGGUAGCGAAAU